rnacentral:rRNA from 1 species
CACGUAGUUAGCCGUGGCUUUCUCGUUAGGUACCGUCAAGGUACCGCCUUAUUCAAACGGUACUUGUUCUUCCCUAAUAACAGAGCUUUACGAUCCGAAGACCUUCUUCGCUCACGCGGCGUUGCUCCGUCAGACUUGCGUCCAUUGCGGAAGAUUCCCUACUGCUGCCUCCCGUAGGAGUCUGGGCCGUGUCUCAGUCCCAGUGUGGCCGAUCACCCUCUCAGGUCGGCUACGCAUCGUCGCCUUGGUGAGCCUUUACCUCACCAACUAGCUAAUGCGCCGCGGGCCCAUCUGUAAGUGAUAGCCGAAGCCAUCUUUUAACUCCUCUCCAUGCGAAGAGAAGGGGUAUCAGGUAUUAGCCCCGGUUUCCCGAAGUUAUCCCUGUCUUACAGGCAGGUUGCCCACGUGUUACUCACCCGUCCGCCGCUAACCGUUCAAAAGCAAGCUUUUGAACAGUUCGCUCGACUUGCAUGUAUUAGGCACGCCGCCAGCGUCGUCUCGAGCCACGGAU